AAAGUCUCCUAUGCCACAGCCAUGGAUUGGUUCAUUGCUGUUUGCUUUGCCUUU
rfam:Labeotropheus fuelleborni strain Domwe Island LFTEA1020468_2, whole genome shotgun sequence.